ACAGGGAAUUUGGUGAGAACCCAAAACUGACGCGCAACGGUAAGACGUAAGUCGAGUCCGACCU
rnacentral:ncRNA from 2 species